rfam:Synechococcus sp. KORDI-100, complete genome.
AACGAACUGCUGUGUUGGUGACGGCCUUUUUCUAGUGCUCUGAUCUGACUCUCUUUCGACUUGGGGAGACUGUCGUGACGGUGCCGUAGACCGGCCAUGCAGCCGGAAACGAAGCCCCACUUUGUCACCCCUUCUGGUUCUUCCAGGUCGAACACUGGGGCUCGCACGGCAUGGUGGUUCACCC